rnacentral:rRNA from 1 species
AGUAACGCGUAAAGAACUUGCCUCACAGUUAGGGACAACAUUUGGAAACGAAUGCUAAUACCUGAUAUUAUGAUUUUAGGGCAUCCUAAGAUUAUGAAAGCUAUAUGCGCUGUGAGAGAGCUUUGCGCCCCAUUAGCUAGUUGGAGAGGUAACGGCUCACCAAGGCGAUGAUGGGUAGCCGGCCUGAGAGGGUGAACGGCCACAAGGGGACUGAGACACGGCCCUU